rnacentral:piRNA from 1 species
UGCGUCUCUGAGCUUGUGGUGGAUUGGGC